AACGCCUCCUAGGAUCGAUCCUGCACCCGGAGCAACCUGCCCAGCCUGGCGCAUCCCAUGCGAGCGGGGCCGUGGGGACGGUGUCACCGCCCUGGGCGUCUCCGCUGGCCGCGGCCGCUGUCCUCCCGCGCCUCGCAGAGGGAUGACAAAGAGGAAAACAAUAACCGAAGCCACUGCGCCUUCCUCUGGUGCUCCCUCUGCACUCGCUGGGGCCGAGCGGGGAUAUAACGGGAACAUGAUUUCACUGCCGUGAUGCCACGGGGCGGUGUUGUGCAGCCGCUCGAGCUGGAAAAAGGGGAGUUGCUGAUGAUUGAAGAUGUCCCGGUUCUGAGCCCAGGCCACAAACACGGGAGGAACCUGCGCCUCGUGUGCUGCAGGGGACACCGCGGCCAUGCCCCGUGGCAGCGCCCACCUCCACAUGUACCCUGGGGGCCAUAGGCGAGCUGCACGGCCCAGGUUCCUCGCAGCCUAAAUAAGAAUUCGAAGGAAAUUCCAGCCCAGACCCCUCCUGGCAAAGCUUCCCUGGCUCGGCUCUUGUGGUUUGAUCGCGCAGGACCUCUGACUUGCAGCUGCAAAUAUCUUGUACUUGCACAAGAGGAAGCAGCCGGGCUGAUGUGCAUGGGAAUUAUCCCAUGUCCUCAAAGCCCGCUGGGCCUGGACGCCAUCUGUGCGACCCUGCCCGAGGUCGGAGGGGGAAAACCUGGCUGUUUGCGUGGUUCCGCCACGAGGAGGGCCGUGGUGGGCUCGCUGUGCUGGAGGACACCGGAGCCUUUCACCUGGGGCAAGGGCAAACUUUGCCCCAAAGAGAUCGGGGACAAGACCUCAAGGUGACCACGGGUGGAUAGGAGGCGGUUUUCACCCUUUGCUUUUUAACUGCCCGAUUAGCAGAAUGGGCAGCCACCAGCCUCACCCCGUGUCACGUCCCGCCGUGGCCACCCAGCGCUGCUCUCACCUCGACGCCACGUGUUUGCUGCCUUUGGAGGCUGUCUUUGACCUUUUGGGGAAAAAGGUCAAGGAAGGUGAAAGGUCAAAAGCUUUGUUUGUUCUUCUGGCUCUCAGUGGGGUUUGAAGAGACACGGAGAGGAUCGGAGAGUUCAGGUGUGCAAGGACGAGUUCAGGUGUCCAGCCCUGGCAACACUUGGAAGAUUUUCUUGCCUCGUUUCUUAUCCAAAAUGCAACAGGGACCUCCAUGCAGUCUGAGCUCUCUGCAUCCCACGCUGAGGGGCUACUUGGCCUUGGUGCUGUGUUUAAAUCCCUCAUCUUCCCCUUCCAGCCUCUACACGAGGCCACCUGGCCACCUCCUGCUGGGGCCUGCUGCUCCAUGAUCCCUCCAGGUGACAUCUCCCUCACCCACCUUCCUCCUCGUGCUUCCUGGGACUUUGUGAACACCUGGAGUAGGAGUUGGGGGAGUCUCCCAUUGAUGUCUGUGAUGCUAAUUUAAAGCUUUCCAUCCUUCUCCAUGCCCUGCUCCCCUGCUCCUGCAGUGGGAUGUGCUCUUGCAGGUCUCCUGGAGCUCAGGCUCUGCUCUGUGCUGCUCACAGCUUGAAGCAUGAGCUCACGGAAAGAGAAAGGCAUCGGCUGUGCUGUACGUGGCCCAGAGCGUGCCAGAGGAACGCCAGGAGCCCAUGCACAGCUUAUUUUUUUGUGAGGCUUUACGUGCUGUGGAGGCAGGCACUCUGCCGAGAGUCACCGCUGCUGAGACAAAGCUCCAUCAAAAGCACCAGCUGCUGCUUUGCCCAUAAAUCCAUCCCUGCCUUGGAUGAACACGUUGAUCCAUUUAUCUCUGCACAGAGGUGCAUAGAGCAGCAGUCUGCCAACACCGCCGGGCACGAUGCAACACGGGGAUGUUCUUCAAACCAUCGCUGGCUCCCCAGACGGAAGGGCCGGGUGCCGUUGCCCAGCUCCGUGUUGCAGCAUCUCCUCCUAUCCCAGUAAGGAGAGGGCUCCCGGGAUUCACAGUGUGCUGCAGUGCCUCCGGCCCACGCAGUGUCUCGUGUCUGCUUUAGCACUGGCCGGGCAGCAGCCGUGGAAGCCGGGGCUGCUGAGAGGCUCCAUACAGCCACACCAGGCUCGGCGCUGCUCUGCUGGUGGCUGGCAUGCAGGGCAGGACUUCUGCAGCCACACUUGUAAUGGCUGUCGAUGCUUUUGCAUGGAAAGGUGUUGCUGCCCUGCGCCUCCUUUGCACGAGCCGGGCUACCAGUGCGUACUGGUGGAGAUGUGGAGGGUUUCCAGGCCCCCGUGGAGAACCUGGAUCCUCCUCCCAAGUCCUCCACUUGCAGCCUGGAGUGCAGACGUGGCUGCUGGCGCCUUCCCCUCCCUCGGAAAGAAGUUGCCAUCACACCAUGGAAACCAAAGCCAGGGGUAGGAAGAGCUUUGCUGGAGCCGGGCAGGCAGAUCAGGAGAGCACAGCGCCGAGGCUGGGAACGGCACGGGAAGGAUGUGCCCGACUUCAAGCCCUGCCCAGGGGAUGAGCCACAGCACGCCGAGGGCUGCCAUCGGCUCUGACAGGGAGGAUUUGUCACAGCUCAAGGGAUGGAAAUGCUUUGUCGCUGUAUGGAAGCAGCUGGAGGGGUCGGGGGCAACAACUGCUGGGUCCAAGGCAGAGGUGCAGGCACUCGGGGAGAGCUGCUCCUUCCUGCAGCCGCCUGCUCCCAACAAAUCAAAGCAGACACCCAAGACCGUUGCCAUUACUUUAUUACCCUCGUUAUUUUCUUAUAUUCUUGGAUGCCAAAGGCACACAUUUAGACAAGAGACCUUGCAUUCCUCUGGACCUGGCAGUGCCACCAGCCUUUAAUCACAGCUUCAGCAUCGACCCUUUUGCAGGAAGUAGUCUGCCUCAGCUCCCUGCCUCAGUCUCCCCCAACACCAGACCUUGUACAACUGUUCCCACCAGGACAGUGCUGAGCUGCCCUCACUACCAAAGCGCUUUCCCUCCGGUAGGUCCAUCUGGACCACAGCAGCAUCUCACCACGCUCCUUUUCCUUGCCUGGUGACACCUCCCCAACACGAUGUGAGCACCAUGAGGCGAGCAGGCAGCUGCAGAGCGGGUCCAGCCCACGCGAGGUGCGACCACCUCACCUCUGCAGGCGCUGUCUCACUGGAUCCCUCUUGCCAUGCACACACCGAGCUUCCCUUAUUAAAAGCAACAUACGC